CGCAUCUGUGCAUGCAGCAUAUCAAUAAGCGGAGGAAAAGAAACUAACAAGGAUUCCCUUAGUGACGGCGAGUGAAGCGGGAAGAGCUCAAAUUUGAAAUCUUCAAGGUUUUACCUUGACGAAUUGUAGUUUAAAGAAGUGUUUUCUGUUGAAGUUUUGGUAAAAGUUCUUUGGAAUAGGACAUCAUAGAGGGUGAGAAUCCCGUAUUUGACCAUUAUUUUCAGCUGUGUGAUACACUUUCAAAGAGUCGGAUUGUUUGGGAAUGCAGUCCAAAAUGGGUGGUAAAUUUCAUCUAAAGCUAAAUAUUGGCGAGAGACCGAUAGCGAACAAGUACCGUGAGGGAAAGAUGAAAAGAACUUUGAAAAGAGAGUUAAACAGUACGUGAAAUUGUCAAAAGGGAAGCGUUUGACACCAGUGUUGUUUUCUCGAAAAUCAAUUAAAAAGAGUUAGAUUUUGUUGUGUAUUGACCUUAACAGCUUGCAUUUCAAUUUUCUUGCUUUUUUUAAUGCACUUUUCGUUUAACAAGUCAACAUCAGUUUCUUUUGUUGUAAAAAGGUCAUUGGAAGGUGGCUUUCUUUUCGGAGAAAGUGUUUAUAGCCUUUGACUCCUGCAAUCGGAGAGACUGAGGUCUGCAGCGUAGAUCCUUCGGGGUUAGAUACAUUUGUGCUAAGUUAUAGCUUUUUAUAGACAACUUGUUGACUAUGAUUAGUCUUGUAGCUUACUCGCUUAUGCUAUUUUACCUACGCUUAGGAUGUUGAUGUGAUACUGCGAGCA
rnacentral:rRNA from 1 species